rnacentral:rRNA from 1 species
CCUACGAGAGGCAGCAGCUAAGAAUAUUCCGCAAUGGACGGAAGUCUGACGGAGCGACGCCGCGUGGAUGAAGAAGGCUGAAAAGUUGUAAAAUCCUUUUGUUGAUGAAGAAUAAGGAUAAGAGGGAAUGCUUAUCUGAUGACGGUAAUCAGCGAAUAAGCCCCGGCUAAUUACGUGCCAGCAGCCGCGGUAACACGUAAGGGGCGAGCGUUGUUCGGAAUUAUUGGGCGUAAAGGGCAUGUAGGCGGUUAUGUAAGCCUGGUGUGAAAUCCUGGAGCUUAACUCCAGAAUAGCAUUGGGUACUGUAGAACUUGAAUUACGGAAGGGAAACUGGAAUUCCAAGUGUAGGGGUGGAAUCUGUAGAUAUUUGGAAGAACACCGGUGGCGAAGGCGGGUUUCUGGCCGAUAAUUGACGCUGAGAUGCGAAAGUGUGGGGAUCGAACAGGAUUAGAGACCCCAGUAGUC